UACGGAGGGUGCGAGCGUUGUUCGGAAUCACUGGGCGUAAAGGGCGCGUAGGCGGUCCGCUAAGUCUGAUGUGAAAGCCCGGGGCUCACCCCCGGAAGGGCAUUGGAAACUGACGGACUCGAGUCCCGAAGAGGAGGGUGGAAUUCCUGGUGUAGCGGUGAAAUGCGUAGAUAUCAGGAGGAACACCGGUGGCGAAGGCGGCCCUCUGGACGGUGACUGACGCUGAGACGCGAAAGCGUGGGGAGCAAACAGG
rnacentral:rRNA from 1 species